AUGCCCAUCAUAACACACCAUCCAGAGUGGAAGAAAAGAAAGAAGAAAUGGCCAAAUGAGGGGGAACCACCCCCACACUCUAGGAAACAAGCUCCCAGCUUCUGGGCCUGUGGGGCAGAGAAGGGCCACUCCCCAGCCUGCCAGGCAGCAGGCCUGAGGUCACCGCAGCAGCUGCUCCUGGUGCGGGCUGCACACUGCCCCAUUGUCUUCCCCAGGCUCCACUGGAGUCAACGAGAAGCAGAUGGCCAAGACACCGUGCACACGAUGAGCUUCCCCUCACACACCUCAGAAGCAAGGCCUGCUUCCAGCCACCGGCGAGGCAAUCUGCUUUUCAUUUUAUAGGCAGAAGAAAGCCACAGAGGAAGGAGGGAGGCCAUAGUUUUCAGGGUGUUGGGGGAGUUGAUGCAAGAAUCAUUAAACUCUUCCCUACUCUGAAAACAAAGCAGCCUAACCCCGCAGGAUGCUUGCAGCACAGGCAGUAAACCCAAGCUCACCUCGUACAACCUCCGGCGGAGGCAAGCCAACCCCGGAACCCGUGUCCUCGACCCCAAAGUGCCAGGCUCCUAGGACCAGUGCGGGAAGAGUUCAAACUGGGGCUUCUUCAGUUCACAUUGUGUAGAGGAGCCGGAGAAAUACCAUGCAGUGGCCAGGAGCGGCAGGCCUCAGACCGUGCGGCCAAGGAAACAUCAACACUGGCACCAGGCAGGGAGCUAUCCUGCCUGUGGGGCCCCUCCCUCCCCGUGCCUCGAGGCGCUAUCCUUUUCUGGGUAGAAGCCAGGGCUCUAGAGCCCCUGUCCUGUCCAGGAUCUUAUCCCAGCUCUCUGCUUACUGGCUGCGUGACCUUAGGUGAGCUGCUUAAACUCCGCUCCCUCAUCAGACAGAUGAGCACAUUACCUCAUAGGAAAUACGACCACUGCAGCAGGUAAUGCACGGGAACUGCCUAUACAGUGCCUAGCUAUUAUCAUUUUUAUAACUGCCAGAUUCUCCCUGUCUUAUUUCCCUCCUCUUCACACCAUGGCAUCAUUUACACCAUGGCAUGCUCUCGUGCAUAAUUUCUUCUCAUCGCAGAGACUGUUUUCAGUCUUUGCUUGAGGGUGGUCUCUGCCUGUGUACGGCAUGUGGGUCCCCACCUGCAGUCACCAACGAUCUAUGUUGUCUUUGGGAUGAGUCCAGAUCGCUGUAUGUGAUCACUGUGUGGCAGCCUAGCACAGCCCCACGUUUUUCCCCAUCAGGCUGUCGUGUAGCAAGGACAACAGUCUUGAGAGCCAGAGAAUAGCUUGUAGAUGGUGGAAUGAAGGAAUCGGUGGAGAGGACUCCAGAGGAAGGAGAGCAAAGGGGGAGCAUUUGAACAGGUAUGAAGGUGGCUGCAACUCGAGAAGACAUCAGAGAAGGGACAGAGUUUCAAAAUGCUCAGGAAAGAGAAACAGUUCAGUGGCCUUCUGGAGGUGGUGGCAGAAAAGAAAGAUAUCAUCAACAUGAAAGUCUGGAAAAACAAGAAUCAGAAAGAUACCUACAUGAUGGACAAACAAAUUAUAGGUGUAGGGAAAGAAAAGAGUGAGGAUUCUGUACAGAUUGCACGAUAAUUGAGAUUUUCAGAAAGAGAUGACAAGUCCACUGCAUCAAGGCACGUCUAAAUCAGGUGAGGGUGCCUUUGACUGGCAGCUUUCCCUGAAUGUGCUAAUUACACUUAUUUGUUCUCAAACAGAAAUAGCUUAUUUGUCAUGGGAGCUGAGGUCCUAGGGUGUGAGACAGCAUCUUCUCUCAGUGAGCAGGUGGGUAGUUGUGUUUGAAUGACAGAAAAUACAUGACUAUACAGCAACACAAUCACUUUUCACGAAGAGUUUUGGAUUGGGUCCCACAGCUAUAUCUCACAGAAGUGACUGGAUCAGGGGCCUGGCUAAGAUGAGAGCUCCUAGAGAAAAAGAGAAGGUGGCAGCAAGACUAACAGGGAUACUGUCCUUGCAUCAGCCUGCAGAGGUUAGGUUAUGUUACAGUAACAAACAACCCCAAAUCUCAGGGGCUUCAAACAAAAGGUUUCUUUCUCCUUUGCACCCAUGUCCACUGUGGGUUGGCCAGGGCUUUGCUCUGCCUCUCACUCACAGCAAUCUCAAAGUCACAUUUUGGAUGAGAGGAUUGGUAACUAACAGUGCUUCCAACUUGACUCCAUAAUCACAAUAUGAGGGAAAACACAACUCAGAAUAUUAGUGCAGAGCAGACCCCCUGAGAGGACCUAGCCCAGAACCCUUCUAUUUACAAGUGGAGAAAUAGGGGGUCAAAGGACAACCACGUGUCGUAGGCAGAAUUCUAAGACAGCCGCCAGGAUUCCUGUCCCUCAAUGUACAUCCUGUGUGAUCACCUCCCCUUGAGCAUGAGAGGGACUGUAAAAAUGAUGGGAUAUCACUCCAGUGAUUAUGUUCCCUCACAUGGCAGAGCGGAUUUUGCAGAUGCAAUUAAUUUGCAUUAAUUAAUUAAUUGCAGGUGUGAUCCCUUGGGUUAACCAAAGAGAUUAUCCUGGGUGGGCUUGACUUAAUCUGGUAAGCCCUUAAAAGAGACAAGCAGCAGCCGCAGACACUCUCCUGCUGGCCUGGGAGAAAGCAAACUGCCAUGCUGUGAUCGGCCUAUGGAUGGGGUCACCAUGGCCAGGACUGAGGGCAGCCUCUAGUUCAGCAAGAAAACGGGACCUCAGCCCUACAGCUGCAGGACCUGAAUUCUGCCAAUGACCUGAACGAGCCUGGAAGAGGACCGAGCUCAAAUGACAACACUGCUCUGAGCCAACACCUUGAUUUCAGCCUGGAGAGACUCUGAACUGAGGAUCCAGAUAACUUAUGCCGACUCCUGACCCACAGAAACUGAGAGAGAGGGAAAAAAAAUCGUGUUGUUUUAACCACUACGUUUGAGGGAAUUUGUUACACGGCAAUAGAAACCGAAUACACCAUGGCAGCGGCAGGUUCUGCCACUUGCAGCCCCCAGGCUUGUCUGCUGAAUUCCACCACUGGGCACGCCUCUGCAGCUGGGGAGGGCAACCAGACUUCACCCUUGGAGCCAUCAGGAAAACAGCUCAAAUAAACACCCCCAUUCUCUCUUUUCUUGAGUUUUU
rnacentral:lncRNA from 1 species